rnacentral:snoRNA from 1 species
GCUGAGACUAGAGUCAUAUCCCGACAUGGUGGUUGUCCUGGUGUGCUAGAGUUCUCGAAGAGAAUCUGCUGGUCUUGAUUCACUAGUAGGGGUCUUCAGAGUCCAUGUUAGUGCCCAGAUCAGAAACAUAU